CCCUUAGAUGUCCUGGGCCGCACGCGCGCUACACUGAUGCAUUCAACGAGUUUUACCUUGGCCGAGAGGCCUGGGCAAUCUUUUAAACCUGCAUCGUGAUAGGGAUAGAUUAUUGCAAUUAUUAAUCUUGAACGAGGAAUUCCUAGUAAACGCAAAUCAUCAAUUUGCAUUGAUUACGUCCCUGCCCUUUGUACACACCGCCCGUCGCACCUACCGAUUGAAUGUUUCGGUGAAGAUUCCGGAUAGGACUUUUUUGAUUUAUUUCAAUUUUGUCUUAAAAGCUAUCUAAACCUCAACAUUUAGAGGAAGGUGAAGUCGUAACA
rnacentral:rRNA from 1 species